rnacentral:rRNA from 1 species
UACAGAGGUCUCGAGCGUUGUUCGGAUUCAUUGGGCGUAAAGGGUGCGUAGGCGGCGAGCUAAGUUUGGUGUGAAAUCCUGGGGCUUAACCUCAGAAAUGCACUGAAUACUGGUUUGCUAGAGGACUGGAGAGGAGAUUGGAAUUCACGGUGUAGCGGUGAAAUGCGUAGAUAUCGUGAGGAAGACCAGUGGCGAAAGCGGGUCUCUGGGCCAUUACUGACGCUGAGGAGCGAAAGCGUGGGGAGCGAACAGG